AGUAACAGCUAUAAAAUACAUCAAAGCUGAACCUGCAUUAGAUUUCAAUAGAGAAUCCCCAGGCACUUAGAAUCAAUUUGACCACCACUUACUUAACCAAGUUCUAGAGUCCCACACGAGACUUUGGGACUGCAGCCCCAUAACAAAGCACUGCCUCUCUUUCUUUGAAGACCACCUUCUCUUUUUUUCUCCCCGCAUACUUUCAUAUCUAAAGGACUUAAAGAGGAACUCAAGAAUACAAGCCAAAAAGUUUAUUCUGGCAAACCAUCAGCUCAGCCGCUCAGAAUGGCAGAGAAUGGCGGGUCUUAGCUGGUGAAGAAGGGUUUGGUUAGAAGUCUGGAUGCUCUGGAGUAGGAUUCAGCAUCAGCCAGUCAUAAACUUUAGACAAAGUAUACUGGUGUUCUUGUCCUUUUUCUGUGCCUAGGCACCAAUUUCAGCCUAGUCCAUUAUGAAUUUCCAUGGUUUGGAUUUCACGGUACUGAGGAACUCUUGAAAUAUUGAGUACAGGGCUAGCUCUUUCCUACCAAUGGGAGGUUAGUGUGAUAGCUUUCAUAAUACGGAGAACAAUUUCAGCUACUAAAGGAAUACUCCAGCUGUUUAUCUCAAGGGUUUUUUCUCACUCUCACUGAAAUUCAGUUAUGCAGGCUGUGCUUUAAUUCACAGCUUCACAUGCUGUCACAAGUUUUAUUAUUAUUAUUACUACUUUUUUUUUUUUUUUAAAUUAUGAUUUGUAUAAAGUGCCUUCUUGAAUGCAGUACCACAGGAGACACUGUCAGAAAAGAAUAAAUGUUUUCUUUCAUCUGAACUGGCUUGGCAUUGUGGCAUACAGCCUCAUUUGUUGCCAGGCUAUUCUUUUACAUUAGAGGUAUUUAAAGAUUGCCAUGGGAUUGUUUGAACUUUCUUUUAUAUCAGCAAUCAAUUCAAGCAAUGACAAUAGCUGCCAUGAGGUCACAUCACGACAGAUUGCUUCUGGUACAGGCAAAUGCUGAUGUGGAUUUGGAAGCUGUCAUCUUAUAUUCUUUUUUUUUCUUUUUUUCCUUUUUUCUGGUGGAAUGCUAUUGUUAGCCCAGAUCGUACCUCUAAAGAUGCUAAUAUUUUCCACUGGGAUGUUAGAUGUACUCAGAAAACAUGUUGCCUCACUUGUUUGCAAUCAAGGACUUUGCACAUUGAGAAUUAUAAGGAUGGCAUAGCUCCUCUAUUGUUUUAGAUCAACAGUCUUUUAAAGCCAGGAGAAGCCACUGCAGUCUCAUCUAGCAUCUGCACUGCACAUUAUAAGGAAUUCAUGAGCUAUUUCUCACAUUGAGACAAUUGUGCUUCAAUAGAAGCUUAAAAAGAUAUGCAGUCUUGAUUUAAAAUGUUACUCCUGCGUUGCCAUAAUGUAAAUUGUAAUAGUGGAUUGCUUACUCUCAGAAAGAAGUUCAAAAUGCAAGAAUUUGAGUCUAUUCAGCUCCUGCAUUGCUCAUCCUGACACUUCUGUUUCACUUUUAUAGGCAACUUCUGCUGCUGCUUCUUCUUGUGUUAUUUUUUUCACGUAUAUAUUACAAGAUUUUACGUGUUCAGAAUUGCAUAGGAGUCUUACUAAAUCAGAGAGGAUUCAUAUUCAGCCAAAUUCUAAAGCUGAUUUUAGCUAUUAUAUAGUCCCAGUUUUUAAAGUAGGAGCUAUAUUCUUUAUUUCCAUAUGCAUGAUCUUGCAUUUAACUCUUAUACUGACUGGAUGAGCUCAGUCUAGAAAACAAUUUGGAUAUUGAUGAUUUUUUUAUUAAAGUCAUUUACUUAUGGUUUCAGAUUGUUUAAUCUGGUGUAGUAAUUCUCACGCAGCUGCAGGUGAAUCCUUCUCUUACUUUCCUUGCACUAAAAUUAGUCAGUUAUGUCUGAUCACAUUGAGAGACAAAGAAAGUAAAGGAAGAACAAGUAAAAGAGAGAUCCUGUUUCUUUUUAUGAUGAGAAAUUGUUCACAAAGGAAAGAUGCUGAUGACAGCUGCUUUUGUCUUGUCCCAUCUGCUGCUGUUUACUUCACUUGCAAUGCAUUUAAAAGUGUGUUUUGAGAGAGAGGUUUUGACAGAAGCAUCAGGAUUCAAAGUGCUGUAACAUACUGUGGAGUUAUGCUCUCUUAGACGUAGUCUUGUCUCUCCUUUCCCUUCCAGGCCAAAAUCUUGUCAGCAUUAUGGCCCAUGGCUCUGUUUUUAAUUUAAAUUAAAUUUAAACAAGAAUAGCCCUUGUGAAAGAGCAGAAAAAUAUGACUGGGGAAAAUGUUUAUAUUACAAGUUUAAAGAGUUUGGGCUACAUUAAGUUAUAGCCGUGGUCAGGAAUUUUGCGUAUUUUACUGUGGGAUUUGCAUCACUGGAAAAUCAAACGGUUUGUUGGCCUACUGAUCAGCCAUGGUUCACAGAGGUGAGAACUUCCUAGUGCCAGUGAAUUUCACCACAGCUCUGGAAAAUUGUUCAGACACAGAGAAAGAUCUGAAUUCUUUCAGGCCUUGGUUUCUCCACUGAGACUUGUACGAGCUGCUUUCCAGCUGGGUGCCCCCAUCAUGUUCUGUUGCCUGGAUUUGUUCCUCCUUAAGUGCAGGACUGCACUUCCCAUUGUUGAAGUUCAUGAGAUUCUCAACAGCCCACCUGUCCUCCCUAUUGAGGUCCCCCUGGAUGGCAGCACAGCCCUCUGGAAGUGUGUGGCAAGGGAGAGCAAUGGUCUUCAUUCUACCUUUGGACAGCAUCCUUAAGGCUCUCCCUCAGCACACAGAGGAGUGAAAAGCAGCCCCUUCACUUGAGUACUUCAACUGAGAACCUAUCCUUGGAUGUUCUGUAUUUUUGCAGACCUCAUACCAUUUAAUAGUGAGAUCAUGUAUUCCAGAGACCUUGCUCUUUCUCUUCUUCUGUCAUGAUCC
ensembl:lncRNA